rnacentral:rRNA from 1 species
GCAUAUCUUAGAGCUUAAAUCAUAUUAUUAAUAUAAAUAAUAUUACUUUCAAAUCCACUUUUAUAAACAAAUUAAAAUGUUUAAUCCAUAAAUAAAUUUAUUGUAACCCAUCUCUUCCUUAUAUAUACUGCACCUUGAUCUGAUUUUUUUUAAUAUUUUAAAUUUUGAACAUUAAAAAUUCUUAUAAAAUAUUCAAAUUACGAUGAUAUACAAAUAAAAAAUAUAAGUAAAUUUAAUCGUGGAAUAUCAAUUAUAGGACAGGUUCCUCUGAAAAGACUAAAAUACCGCCAAAUUUUUUAAUUUUAAAGAUUUUAACUAAUACUAAUUUUUAUUCAAUAAUUUACAUUUUUU